rnacentral:rRNA from 1 species
CCUACGGGAGACAGCAGUGGGGAAUAUUGCACAAUGGGGGAAACCCUGAUGCAGCGACGCCGCGUGAGUGAAGAAGUCUUUCGGUAUGUAAAGCUCUUUCAGCCGGGAAGAAAAUGACGGUACCUGAUUAAGAAGCACCGGCUAACUACGUGCCAGCAGCCGCGGUAAUACGUAGGGGGCAAGCGUUAUCCGGAUUUACUGGGUGUAACGGGAGCGUAGACGGCAGCACAAGUCUGGCGUGAAAUGCCGGGGCUUAACCCGGGAACUGCUUUGGAAACUGGGCAGCUAGAGUGCAGGAGAGGGAAGUGGAAUUCCUUGUGUAGCGGUGAAAUGCGUAGAGAUUAGGAGGAACACCAGUGGCGAAGGCGGCUUACGGGACUGUAACUGACGUUGAGGCUCGAAAGCGUGGGGAGCAAACAGGAUUAGAUACCCCAGUAGUC